ACUCUUAAAUUUGAUGCCUUAUGUGACACUCCCAACUUUUUGCUUCCUUCUACGGUCACUUGUGUAAAAAUUAUGCCUCACAUGACACUCUAGUGUAUGUUUAGAGCUAACGGUGUCAACUUUUCACAUACAAAGUCACUUUUGCCCCUGGUGUAACGUGUGACAAAAAUACAAGAAAUAUUGUUGUACUAUGUGUGACAAAAAUA
rnacentral:lncRNA from 1 species